rnacentral:rRNA from 1 species
GUGCUGCAUGGCUGUCGUCAGCUCGUGUUGUGAAAUGUUGGGUUAAGUCCCGCAACGAGCGCAACCCUUAUCCUUUGUUGCCAGCGGUCCGGCCGGGAACUCAAAGGAGACUGCCAGUGAUAAACUGGAGGAAGGUGGGGAUGACGUCAAGUCAUCAUGGCCCUUACGACCAGGGCUACACACGUGCUACAAUGGCGCAUACAAAGAGAAGCGACCUCGCGAGAGCAAGCGGACCUCAUAAAGUGCGUCGUAGUCCGGAUUGGAGUCUGCAACUCGACUCCAUGAAGUCGGAAUCGCUAGUAAUCGUGGAUCAGAAUGCCACGGUGAAUACGUUCCCGGGCCUUGUACACACCGCCCGUCACACCAUGGGAGUGGGUUGCAAAAGAAGUAGGUAGCUUAACCUUCGGGAGGGCGCUUACCACUUUGUGAUUCAUGACUGGGGUGAAGUCGUAACAAGGUAACCGUAGGGGAACCUGCGGUUGGAUCACCUCCUUA